rnacentral:lncRNA from 1 species
CUAGCGAGGAGGCAUGCCUGUGGGAACCAUUCUGAGGAGGGACGUACCCUGGCACUGCUGCCUGGCCAGUCGCUAUUCCCAGGAGAUGCUCGCACACAGAGGAGAAUUUUUAUGUACAUGUCUACAGGUGCUGAAGAGACUCUUGGCUUCCACAAACACUUACACCGCUUCUGUCUGAUGCUCUCCAG